GACGAACGCUGACGGCGUGCCUAAUACAUGCAAGUUGAGCGCUGAAGGUUGGUACUUGUACCGACUGGAUGAGCAGCGAACGGGUGAGUAACGCGUGGGGAAUCUGCCUUUGAGCGGGGGACAACAUUUGGAAACGAAUGCUAAUACCGCAUAAAAACUUUAAACACAAGUUUUAAGUUUGAAAGAUGCAAUUGCAUCACUCAAAGAUGAUCCCGCGUUGUAUUAGCUAGUUGGUGAGGUAAAGGCUCACCAAGGCGAUGAUACAUAGCCGACCUGAGAGGGUGAUCGGCCACAUUGGGACUGAGACACGGCCCAAACUCCUACGGGAGGCAGCAGUAGGGAAUCUUCGGCAAUGGACGAAAGUCUGACCGAGCAACGCCGCGUGAGUGAAGAAGGUUUUCGGAUCGUAAAACUCUGUUGGUAGAGAAGAACGUUGGUGAGAGUGGAAAGCUCAUCAAGUGACGGUAACUACACAGAAAGGGACGGCUAACUACGUG
rnacentral:rRNA from 1 species